rnacentral:misc_RNA from 1 species
GGUCAAAUAUUUCGCGUCGAACCAUUUGACGCUUGAUAGACCCCACUUCACUUGUUGUGUGUACCAUUAUUGUUGAUUUCGGGGGUAAUUGACGAGUUUUCACAUCAAAUCAAACAUGGCGAUGGGCCGAAAUCAGGAGUUUGAUAAUCUGUACCGUGAAAUUGAUGAGCCUGUAGAAUCAAGGAAGCUGUUCUUGGGUGGACUCAGAAGUCAAAGUUCAGAAAGACACCUUUAUGAAGCUCUCCUCCCAUAUGGCCACAUUUUGGAGGUUCUCUUUGUUCGUGAUAAAAAUGGCAAACCCAAAGGAUUUGGUUUUGUUACUUUUACCAAAUCAUACAUGUUAGAGGCGGUAUUUGCUGACCAUCCAGACAAUCGCAUCAUUGUGGAUGGAAAGAACGUGGAAGUUAAGAGAUUAUCGGAAGGCGAGCCCAGCCGCUCUAAAGCAGCUAUGUUAAAGGCUGCUGUGCCUAAUGAGAAUACAACACGGAUCUUUGUCGGAGGUAUCUCGGAAAUAACCACUGAAGAAAACUUGAGAGAGGGAUUUAGUGAAUAUGGGGAAAUCAUAGAAGUUGAUAUCCCACCAAAUGAGAAGACUGGAAAGGCACGUGGUUUUGCUUUCAUUACAUUUGCAAGCAAGGAGAGUGUGGGAAAGGUUGUGGGAAUGAAGUAUUUAAAUUUCUUUGGGCGGAAAGUAGAGGUGAAAAGAGCCAUCGAAAAGGAGAAACUACAGAGAGACUCUGUACCUCCUCCACCAGCACCUUCACCUAAAGGCAAGCCCGAGGGAGCAAGUAAAGGAGGGCAGGGAGGUGGGCAAGGAAGAGGAGGAAAAGGGGGAGGGGGGAAAGGAGGAGGAGGGAAAGGAGGAGGUGGAAGAGGAGGAGGUGGAAGAGGUGGUGGUGGUGGCCGUGGUGGCCGUGAUGGAGGGCGUAGUGGCAGAGGCUUUGGAGGAGGAACAGGCGGAGAAAUGGGUGGUGAUAAACAGAGACAUGAUGCUGGUGGAAGAGAUCUUUGGAGAGACAGCAUGAGAAACAUGUUUGAUGGUCCUGAACAAUUUGGACCUGAAAGAGACUUUGACCAAGGCUACAGAAGGGAUAGACCCCCUUUUGACAUGGGACCUGAUAGAUAUAGGGGUAUGGGUCCAGAUGGGCCAAUGGGACGAGAAAGGCCAUUUGGACGAGAAGGACUGAUGGGACGGGAAAGGCUGAUGGAACGGGAAAGGCUGAUGGAACGGGAAAGGCUGAUGGAACGGGAAAGGCUGAUGGAACGGGAAAGGCUGAUGGAACGAGAAGGACCAAUGGGACGAGAUUGGUCAAUGGGACGAGAAAGGUCAAUGGGGCAAGAAGGGCCGAUGGGGCGAGAAGGGCCGAUGGGACGAGAAGGGCCGAUGGGACGAGAAGGGCAGAUGGGACGAGAAGGGCCGAUGGGACGAGAAGGGCUGAUGGGAAUGGAUCGUGGGAGAAUGAUGGACAGAAUGCGAGACAUGGGACCAGAUAUGCAUCAAAGAAGAUCACUAGGACCAGAUAUGCCUGGAGUUCCAGGGGACCUGAUGGGAAUGGGCUCAAGAGGACCAAGAGAAGGGAGAGGUAUGGAGCGAGCAGCAAGGGGAGGACAAGGAUUGAGAGACAUGGAUAAAUGGGAUGAGGCAAUGUUUGACGGUAUGCCCACAGACGAAAUGUUUAGAAGUCAGUUUGGAGAUGGUCCCAUGGACUUCCCUGGUUUCCCUGGAGAUGGACCACCAUCUCGUCCUGGUGGAUCAGGAGGAAUACCAGGAGAUUUCAAACAAGAGAUGAGUGAAGUAGAAAGGGAUCUUGAAAUCUCCAAAGCCAAGAUGAAGGAGUACUACAAAACCAUGUACAUGUGGAAGCUCAAGUGGUAUCAAAUGAUGAAGACCUGGACAGCAGCCAAAGCUGCUGUUGCUGCAGAGGUAACCGUGAAUAGCAUAACAGCAAGUCCUUCUAGAGACCCCCUUCCAGCUACCAGCCAGCCUCAAGGUAGUUCCUUUGGUGCUGUAGAUGGGAUAUGGGGUCAAGCCCGGGGUCAAGCCCAGAGUCAAGUAGCUAGUCAGGCUGCAAAUCAAGCUACAGUUCAAGCUCCGAGUCAAGCAAGUCAAGCUCCAGGGCAAAUGCCUGGUCAAAUGCCUGGUCAAACACUUGGGCAAGCACCUGGUCAAGCACCGAGUCAGGCACCCCUUCAUCCACCAGGGGUGGCACCAAGUAGUGGCGGAAAUGAAGACCCUUACAGAGCUCCGGUUGACAGUUUUGGAGGUAGAGCUGCUGGUAAUACUGGCAGCAACUUUGGAAACCAAGGUCAAGGUCAUCCAUAUGCAAACCAAGGUCAGACUCCCAGCUAUGGGAAACAAGAUCAAGACACAAGCUUUGGUGGUCUAGGGUCAAACUAUGGCAACAUGCCUUCAAAGUAUGGUCCAAUGAAGACGGAACCUGCUUACCCUGGCUCUUCAUUUGGAGGACCUUAUGGGGGAAUGCCAGGAAUAUGAGAACUGUAUGUGUUGAAGAAUCUAAGAAACAAGUCAAAGUAGAAUGAUGGGAGGGAUUGGUAUCAUUUCAUCAGUGGAGGACAGAGGAAAUCUGCUAUGAAGUAUCACAUUGAAAGAGUACACCAAAAGGGGUCCCUGUUGCUCCAUCCAUGGGAUGAUUACCUUGUUGGAUUGUAUGCAUUGUAAUGCUGAAGGGAACCUAAUAAAAACUGGCUCUAUAGUAGCCAUGCUCACCAC